ensembl:snRNA U6 U6 spliceosomal RNA
GCUCGCUUUGAGGGCUCAUAUAGUAAAAUUGGAACCAUAUAGAGAAGAGUAUCGGCUUCUGCACAUGGAUGACAUGCAAAUUCGUGCGACAUUCCAUAUUUUU